rnacentral:rRNA from 1 species
UUUGAGAAGCCUUUGGCACUGCAAAUGCACCUGGGCUAGCCUGCUCCCGGAAGGCAAGCAGUGUCUGGCCUGGUUAGAACUUGGAUGGGAGGAAGGAUUACAUGGAAUGGAAU